rnacentral:rRNA from 1 species
AGUGAACGCUGGCGGUAGGCCUAACACAUGCAAGUCGAACGGCAGCACAGGAGAGCUUGCUCUCUGGGUGGCGAGUGGCGGACGGGUGAGGAAUACAUCGGAAUCUGCCCAGUCGUGGGGGAUAACGUAGGGAAACUUACGCUAAUACCGCAUACGACCUUCGGGUGAAAGAGGGGGAUCGCAAGACCUCUCGCGAUUGGAUGAGCCGAUGUCGGAUUAGCUAGUUGGCGGGGUAAUGGCCCACCAAGGCGACGAUCCGUAGCUGGUCUGAGAGGAUGAUCAGCCACACUGGAACUGAGACACGGUCCAGACUCCUACGGGAGGCAGCAGUGGGGAAUAUUGGACAAUGGGCGCAAGCCUGAUCCAGCCAUACCGCGUGGGUGAAGAAGGCCUUCGGGUUGUGAAGCCCUUUUGUUGGGAAAGAAAUCUUUCAGGCUAAUACCCUGGGAGGAUGACGGUACCCAAAGAAUAAGCACCGGCUAACUUCGUG